UACGGAGGGUGCGAGCGUUGUCCGGAAUCACUGGGCGUAAAGGGCGCGUAGGCGGGCAACCAAGUCCGGGGUGAAAUCCUCCAGCUCAACUGGAGAAGUGCCUCGGAUACUGGCUGCCUCGAGGAGGGUAGGGGCAUCUGGAACUAGCGGUGGAGCGGUGAAAUGCGUUGAUAUCGCUAGGAACUCCGGUGGCGAAGGCGAGGUGCUGGACCCUUUCUGACGCUGAGGCGCGAAAGCCAGGGGAGCGAACGGG
rnacentral:rRNA from 1 species